CCUACGGGAGGCAGCAGUGGGGAAUAUUGGACAAUGGGCGAAAGCCUGAUCCAGCAAUGCCGCGUGAGUGAUGAAGGCCUUCGGGUCGUAAAGCUCUUUUACCAGGGAUGAUAAUGACAGUACCUGGAGAAUAAGCUCCGGCUAACUCCGUGCCAGCAGCCGCGGUAAUACGGAGGGAGCUAGCGUUGUUCGGAAUUACUGGGCGUAAAGAGUACGUAGGCGGUUAUUCAAGUCAGAGGUGAAAGCCCGGGGCUCAACCCCGGAACUGCCUUUGAAACUAGAUAACUAGAGUCUUGGAGAGGUUAGUGGAAUUCCGAGUGUAGAGGUGAAAUUCGUAGAUAUUCGGAAGAACACCAGUGGCGAAGGCGACUAACUGGACAAGUACUGACGCUGAGGUACGAAAGCGUGGGGAGCAAACAGGAUUAGAUACCCUGGUAGUCCACGCCGUAAACGAUGAUAACUAGUUGUUCGGUCACUUGGUGACUGAGUGACGCAGCUAACGCAUUAAGUUAUCCGCCUGGGGAGUACGGUCGCAAGNUUAAAACCNAAAGAAUUGACGG
rnacentral:rRNA from 1 species